AGAGUUUGAUCCUGGCUCAGAUUGAACGCUGGCGGCAGGCCUAACACAUGCAAGUCGAGCGGUAACGGGACUAGCUUGCUAGUUGCUGACGAGCGGCGGACGGGUGCGUAACACGUAGGAAUCUACCCAGUAGCGGGGGAUAGCCCGGAGAAAUCCGGAUUAAUACCGCAUACGCCUUACGAGGGAAAGCAGGGGCUUCUUCGGAACCUUGCACUAUUGGAUGAGCCUGCGUCGGAUUAGCUAGUUGGUGGGGUAAAGGCCUACCAAGGCAACGAUCCGUAGCUGGUCUGAGAGGAUGAUCAGCCACACUGGGACUGAGACACGGCCCAGACUCCUACGGGAGGCAGCAGUGGGGAAUAUUGCACAAUGGGCGCAAGCCUGAUGCAGCCAUGCCGCGUGUGUGAAGAAGGCUCUAGGGUUGUAAAGCACUUUCAGCGAGGAGGAAAGGUUGUAGAUUAAUACUCUGCAGCUGUGACGUUACUCGCAGAAGAAGCACCGGCUAACUCCGUGCCAGCAGCCGCGGUAAUACGGA
rnacentral:rRNA from 1 species